rnacentral:rRNA from 1 species
UACGUAGGGGGCAAGCGUUGUCCGGAUUUAUUGGGCGUAAAGAGCGUGUAGGCGGCCUGACAGGUCUGCUGUGAAAAACUCGAGGCUCAACCUCGAGAUGUCGGCGGAAACCGUCUGGCUAGAGUCCGGAAGAGGAGAGUGGAAUUCCUGGUGUAGCGGUGAAAUGCGCAGAUAUCAGGAGAACACCUAUGGCGAAGGCAGCUCUCUGGGACGGUACUGACGCUGAGACGCGAAAAGCGUGGGGAGCGAACAGG